GGAUGCGAUCAUACCAGCACUAAAGCACCGGAUCCCAUCAGAACUCCGAAGUUAAGCGUGGUUGGGCGAGAGUAGUACUAGGAUGGGUGACCUCCUGGGAAGUCCUCGUGUUGCAUUCCC
rnacentral:rRNA from 1 species